CUUAUACAAAACAUUCCAUAUUAAUGGAGCAAUGAAUUACUUCUAAUAUGUUGUUCAAAGAUGGCCACUACAACAUACUUUCACGGACACAUAAAACCUUUGCAAAUAAACAUCUUGUAAUACAUUUAGGUCACUUAUAAGUAUUAAAGGAAUAAAUUAUCCAAGCUAUCUAUUUUCCUUAAAAUUACAUAAUGAUCACAAUUUUUUAAGAAUACCUUUUCACCAGAAUAUUUUUAUGUUUUUUUUCAUGUCUUUGGAAUUAAGUAUUUCUCAUAUGACAGAAAGAACAAGGCAGAAAAAGGUUUUGAUUUUUGUUUUGCUGUAGCCUAGAUAAUUCUAUAUAUCAUUUUUCUCUUUGAGAUUAAACCAAAACAAAUGUCUCACUGUGGCGGCCAGUUGAGUGAACUUUUGCCUUAAACAUUUCUUGGUACAUAAGGUACAAGCAAACCAUAACCCCGAACAAGACAUCUGUUCCUGGCGGAAACAGGACUGAGCUGCUGUGACCCCUGAAAUGGUCUCCCUGCGACCCCAGGACACACCAAGCCUGCGCUGAACCAGACCACGAUCGGGCAGAGACUUUGGGACCUGGACUAAGUUUGAAUUACUGCCUCACCUUAUGGCCCACCUGAUACAGUGCAUGACGGGAGUCCUAGGCAAAAUGGGAGAGAUAAAGAAGCAUCCUCAAAACUGAAAUCCUGAAGUAAAUUGACAGUUCCUGCUUGAAAGUACCCAGUGUCCCGCCCCCAGAAAAGGAUCUCCACUCAAUCUGUGGCAUUUAUGGAACAUAAACCACAAUAAGGAAGGCUGAAGUUAUGCAGUCUACUUUACUUCUAUGCCAGUUACAAUGCAUUUGUUCCAGUAAACACAAACCAGAAGAACAUUCGGUAAAUGUCUAUGAACAUUGGACAAUCAUUAAUAGGAAAUGGGGAGGGAAAUAAAUUAUUUAAAUAAAUAGCUAUAUUAUCUAUAUUGCUAAAUAGCUAAUUAAAUUUGUAGGUUAUGCUUCCCUGAAAUUAGCUUUCAUAAUUUGAUUGAAACUGUCCUUAUAAAAUAGAUAUUCAGAAAAUAUAUAGGUAAACCUAUACAAGCUACAUCUACACACACACAGAUUAAGGUAGCAUAAUAUACUAUUGGUCCUGUGCUAGUUAACCUUAAUCAAUGAGUGUAUCAAUGUCAAAUAAACUGCUUCAGUCCAUGCUACCAAACUCUGUUCAAACAUUAAAGAAAUUCUAGGAAUGGCAUCUUCCCUGAGGAACCAAUCUUGAAAUUCCCUCCGAAGGUGGACAGAGAAAGGGAUGGACACACACAGGUACAACUUUGGACUGGAAAGCUUGACCCUGAGAUCAGGGAAUUUCUGUCGUACAGAAAGAAAGGCUAGAUAGAAGGGUUUUUCUUUACCCUGCGUGUCACAGAACUAUGCUUUGGAGGGGUUUUAUAUCCUUGGGAGAUCAAGCUGGUUCAUAAUAUGAGCUCUGUGCCAAAUUCAUUAGCAUCAAGGUGAAUUGCUUGCUAUUAGUGGCAAUGGGCUUUGGAUCGAGAUGUGACAGAGUCUGCUGCAAGUACCCUACGACACUGCCAUUUGGCUUUUCACUCAGAAAACUGUAUGAGACCACAUUUCUUCCAAACUGUCCCCAGUAUAAUUGCAUACAACCUACUGCAUACAACCUAUUUACACAGCAUUGGUACGUUCUUCCUAUGUGCUUUUAUGGAUGAUCCGUGAACAUGAAAAAUAGUAAUAUUUAGCAAGGAAAUAGGAUGCUGCAUAGAUUUUGAUCAACAUGGUGCAUAAUGAGCCUCUUUGUCAGCAAGUGCAUAUAAUCAUUACUCUUUGCCAUGAAUUUCUCACUGUUCAGCAGAAUCUUCGGUGACUAAAGAGAGGCUAAAAUGGGGAAGGGAAGAAAGGACACUGGGGGGAAAUAAGUAAGCAGAAAUAGAAAACUGAAAUUAAAAGUGGUAUAUUAAGCAUCUAAACCUGUCUGAAAUUUAUGUCUUGUGCUUACAGCUCUGGUAAAACAAGUAUGUAAUAUUACUGCAUAUGCACUGCCCUUGAUGCUGUUCAUCAGCUGGAAAUGCUCACACAGGUAAAGUCUGGCAUGAGAUUAAACCUCUUCAAGACUGGUUUAAAUGCAGCUGGUAUUCCAUCUGCACGCACACUCUUUCUGUUGACACUGAUGAACUGAUUGUUGGACUGAUGUUUGUGUGAGAAAAGGGAGGGAGAAGACCAGAAGACCUAGACAGGUGAAAUAUUUAACAGUACUAGAGUGGAAGGUAAGACUUGAUUUCUUGUCUCCUUUUCAUUCAGUUCUGCAAAGACAUCAUAUAAGUACUUUAGAUAGAAAUUAAUAGAUAAGAUAACAACAAAAUACCAGCACAAUAUUAUUAUAAGUCUUGGAAAUUUCCCAUGCUUCUUGCAUGUUAAUUCUAAAAGUAAAUAAAUAUUGAGUUUUCGGAAGAUCUUUCUUUCCUUUAAAGAAAACAUUAUGCUAUUCUUUUAAAAAAAUACAUAUAUAAGCCUAUUUGCAAAUCAGAACAGAUAACAUAAUUAGUAUGACAUGAAAUAAAAAUGUCUGAAUAAUUUUUUUUCUAGGUAUUCCUCAGAGGUCUGAUCUGUCUGACUUCUUUCAGAUCUUUGCUUCCUACAGCAGGCUUUUAUACUUUUUCUCCUAAUCUCUUUAUGCCUGUUAGUCCUACUGAUCAUGAAGUGAUUAAUUCAACUUGUGAAAACAUAUCAGAGCAGUAGGACUUUAACAGUUGGAGCUUAUAUCCUCUGCUCUUGAGACCCACAGGUUUGUGAUCUAAAAGUCUGAAUUAGAGAAAAAGUCUCUUUCCCCGCUUUCUUUACAAUCCGUUCCCUACUCACACAUAAAUUGAAAUGCUUUAUAUUCCUUUUCUUCUGAUAAAACUAGCAAAAAAUCCCUACAAAAAAUAUCUCCAGUUGCAUGGAAUUCACUCUGUAUUUCUAGAAGUUUUUGAAUUUUUGGAAGUGCCUUCUUAUUGGAAUUAAUCAAUAAAACAACAUCUUCCUGUAAGCCCUAAUUUAUCUGGAACACUUUAGGCACACUUGAAACCUUGAAUAAAUAAUACAUACAAAUAAUUAUAGCACUAAGAAGAAAUAAUGUUUAAUCACAGGACAAAUUAAAAUUUAAGUAUUUUUCUCAGUUUUAUUUUUAAUUACUGUCACUUGAAGUGACAAACCUAAUUAAAAAUCUAAAUAGCUUUUGAAGGGCUUAGAGUGUUCAACAGCCUAUUUUAUGGACAAUUUUCCUAUUAUACUUCAGAAGAAUUUCUGGAUUCCGAGUAUUUUGGAAAACAUGGCCUCUUCUUUCUUGAGUCUUGGGGAGAGUCAUUCAGAAACAUCUAUAAUCUAGUUCCCUGGGCUGCCUCAACCUCUUUCCAUUCAGUAGAGUAGGAAAUAUUUGAAUGUGCAUCCAUGUUUCAAAACCUAUGUGCUCGCCAGUAGAACUGCUAGUCCCGCAGGGGAAUGAGGGCUAAACUGCACCCACCAGAUUUAUUAGUUUGGGUUUAUUAGAGCCUGGGAGAUUUGCAAGAAAUUCCCAAAUGCUUUGCAUGAUUUGCUCUCUUUGUGGAGCUCUGUACUUGGCUAUGAACAAUUUAUUUUUGCAGUGGUGUUUGUGGCCAGUGGUCACAGCAGAAACAAAUUAAAUGUAUUUCUGUGACUUUUUUAUAGCUUGAAGGGCACACAGGAUUCAAAACACACUAAAUAUAUAUGUUAUCAACUAAUUUAUUUAGAGACCAGCCACAUAGGCUAUGCAUAAAACUAAUCUUAAAAUUUUAGUAAAAAAUCUACUAAAUGUUGCAAACAGAGAACUCUGUAACGCAUUUGCUACGUGUAAGCAAAAAGGCAGAAAGGAAAGACAAGGAGCUUUCCACCUGCAGCAUUAUUAUGGGCUCAGUUCACUCACUAGAGUGCUAGAAAGUACUUCGGAAAACCCAGCUGAUGAGCUCAUCAAGAGAAAACCUACCAAGUGCUGGAGGUGCAACAGAAAUGAGGGAAAUACAGGCUUUCAAGAAACCACUCUCACUCCUGGAACAAAAGUGACAACUCUGCAAAUGGUGUAAGAUAACUCUGCUUUCAUGAGCAUGGCUGGAACAUUUUGUACGUCAGGUGUAGUCUUGGACAGGCACAUUUGUUCUUCUGAGUCCUGCUGCCUCAGAGGGGGCAGUGAGACAUCAGACGUGAUCUAACCAACUUCUAACAGUCAGAAGAAACCAUAACAGCAAUUAAUUCAUAAUAGCAGAUUACUAAUAAAUAGUAGGUCUCAAAGCUUAAUUUCUACUUUGUUCUUCAUGCUCUAAAAUGACAGGCCACAAACAAGCUGUCAUAGACGGCAUAGACAGCUGGAAUCAGACUGCCCUGGGGAGGAUUUCUGUCUCCUAGAUGAAAAUACAAAAGCAUUUUCCAGCGUUUCAUUUUUACCCAGGAAACAUAGGAGGACAAAAGUGGCAAAUGGAUCACUCCGAAUCUAUGUAAACUUUGUUUUAUUUGAGGAAUGAACAAAACUACACGCCUGUCCUUAUUUCAACUGAACCAGCUCACUAGCUUCUAAACAAUGCAAACAGGCCCAUUUUCGGUAACUCCACACCAUGUGUUUUGUGUGCGUCUACUGUUCUUCUUAUUAUUUAUAUUGUCAUAGCAACUUCAAGUCCCACUUUUGAAAGAGUACCUUAGGUGAUAUGCGAACAUGGGUGUGAAAAAGAUGACCCUCAUCAGAACAGUCCUGCUCCAGCUAGUUAUUGCAAUUGUAGCUCAUUUCUAAUUGCUAUCAGCUACUCUCUAGUACAGCAGUAACAGCCAUCCACAGUGUGGGCUGCAGCAGAUUUAACUUGUCAGUGUUUCAUUUAAUAAGGAUUGUUACAGAGAGCUUCUAAAUAAAUACUGUUUGUAAUCAGCUUGCAUGGAAACUGUUUUCUCAGAUUUAAAUCCCUGUUAAUUCCUGUUCAUCAUUUGGCCAGUGGUUGUUACAAAUAUCAUCAAUCACUAGAUGAAAGUUCCUGGAACAAAACCUCAUUGCUUGUAUAUGGUUUCCUAACACACUUUACAUGUUAGAAGUACACAGGCUUUUCAUGCUCUUUGUUCUCUCUGCUGUAUUACAGUUCUUUCCAAAUUAGAUUAUUUUUAUUAAUUAUAUUGCAGAAAAGUUACUCCUCUACUUAACCGGAUUCAAAGAUUGCUGGUUAUCAUGUGUGGGGGUGUUGUUAAAGUGAAUGUUCUUGGCUGUUUGUACAUGUGUUUAUAAAAUAAAGUAAAUCUUUGCAGAA